rnacentral:rRNA from 1 species
UACGUAGGGUGCAAGCGUUAAUCGGAAUUACUGGGCGUAAAGCGUGCGCAGGCGGUUGUGCAAGACCGAUGUGAAAUCCCCGGGCUUAACCUGGGAAUGGCAUUGGUGACUGCACGGCUAGAGUGUGUCAGAGGGGGGUAGAAUUCCACGUGUAGCAGUGAAAUGCGCAGAGAUGUGGAGGAAUACCGAUGGCGAAGGCAGCCCCCUGGGAUAACACUGACGCUCAUGCACGAAAGCGUGGGGAGCAAACAGG